AUUGAACGCUGGCGGCAGGCCUAACACAUGCAAGUCGAACGAGUGGCGGACGGGUGAGUAAUGUCUGGGACACUGCCCGAUGGAGGGGGAUAACUACUGGAAACGGAAGCUAAAACCGUAUACAUGCGGCUGUGCCCAAAUGGGAUUAGCUAGUAGGGGGGGUAACGGCUAACCUGGGCGACGAUCCCUAGCUGGUCUGAGAGGAUGACCAGCCACACUGGAACUGAGACACGGUCCAGACUCCUACGGGAGGCAGCAGUGGGGAAUAUUGCACAAUGGGCGCAAGCCUGAUGCAGCCAUGCCGCGUGUAUGAAGAAGGCCUUCGGGUUGUAAAGUACUUUCAGCGAGGAGGCGUUACUCGCAGAAGAAGCACCGGCUAACUCCGUGCCAGCAGCCGCGGUAAUUC
rnacentral:rRNA from 1 species